rnacentral:lncRNA from 1 species
GUUCAAUAGACCACGUGCUGAAUUAGUAUUAAAAAAAUUGAAUGAAAAAUGAGAGAAAAGCAUGACACACCUCCAUGAUGUCCCCAAUGUUAACUACAAAAGCAUCUGGAAGAAAGGUCACAGGAAUCCAAACCCCACCUUUCUUUAUCUCAAGACCCUCCACACCAUUGACCUGGUGAAGGAUGGUUAUGCCUGUGGCAUCAGAGUGCGGGGUGAGCCCUGCAACAAGCUCUGGCUUUGGACAUGGUGGAUAGUAUGUCAUUCUCACUCACUACAUGCCAUCAUCAAAAAUCUCCAUCACUUCCUUCAUCUCCAUGCUUAUGGCUCUUCCUAAUAACCCCAGAAGUUCCAUACCUAGUUUCGUCAAUUCUCUGAAGUAUGACUUCAAGGUAUCCCUUCACAAAUUUAUAUAUACAUAUCUCAUAAUCAAGGUAUAUACAUAUAUACAUACAUAUCUGGCUACUUUCAUACUGUUCUCCAAUCAGAAUUCAUAUUUCAUGUUAAUAAUUUACAUUGAUGUUGAAUGUAAAUUUUUAUUUCGUAGGUGAAUUAUCAAAGUAAAACUCUGAAUUAUAAUUAGAAAACAACAUUAAAAAUACAUAAGGAAUUACAUAUAAUUUUUCUCUUUGUUUAUUGAGGGUUUAAUAGAAAAUAAGGAAAUUAAGAGAAAGAAAUGAAUGAAAGUAUAUACCUCAAUGAUGUAGGAAGCCCAGGGAGAAGAUGUGGCUUUCUUCUUUCAAGGGGGUUGAUCACCAUAUAGAAUCUGUCCCCCCCCCCCCCCCAGUCAAGCUUUUGAUCUUUUCAUCUUAUCACAGUUCCAUAGCCUUGAACAUCUCCUGCUCUUAUUUGGUACUUCUUUUUCUCUUCAAUGGGGAGCUUGAAGAACUUCUCAAUCUCAAGUUUCAGCUUCUCUCGCAGUUGAGAGCUAACACCAUGGUUCACCACCUGCAUAAACAAAACAGUAGUGUUCUCAUAUAAGACUAAAACACAAAUUAUACAGUAGUUAACACUUAACAACAAUGACUAAUUAAGAAAUCAUAUUAAUUAAUUAAUGCAAAUGGAAAAGUUAUCACUAAUUCUAUAUUUGAAAUUAAGGGUAUAUAAUAUAUAUGUUAGGGUACAAACCUGAAAGAAACCCCAAUCUUUGCAUGCUGUGAACAACUUGUCAAGUUCAGCAUCAUCUAUAGCUUUUUCAUGUAGCAAGGCUUUGAAGUAAAAAACGGGAAUGGUUGGCAAAGUGGUUUCAUUUGAUCAAAUUGUAGGUUCUUGUGGGCGAAUAUACAUUUCUGGUAUUCCCAUUUCUGGUUUCAUGGGCAUGUCCAUCACACCAAUCUCAGAACGAGAGCUCUCAAAGACACUAACUUACUGUGAUGAAGCCAUCGAUAAAUUAAAUUAAGGUGCAAUUACAACGAACAGUGUGAUUGGUAUUUAUGCAUCCUGUUGAUGCCGUUUUCAGUUUUGACCCCUUCUUGGAGGUUAAAAAAGUUAUUAAAAUGCGGAUAUAUUUAACUAUGACGACUUAAAUAAUUCAUUUGUACGGCCAUGAUAGCUAUUUAUUUGCCACAGUAGAAGAAGCUCCCAAUUGGAUCUGAAUCCAUGGAUUGGAGUCCACCACCUCUAACCAUGAAUUCAAAGAGAGAGAAAGAGAAAGAGACACAGAGAGAGAAGAAGUCUAUGACAGAGGAUGUAAAAUAGAGCAAGUAAAACAAAGGUAGUAGUUAAAACUGAGUAGUUAAAAUAGAGGAAGUAAAACAAAGGCAAUGAUGCAAACUAUUGAUUUUGCAACUUCAAUUUGUAGUAACCUUCUAAAAAGUAAGACAAAUUAGAUUAGAUUAAAAUUUACAGAUUUUUUCAGGGAGGAAAUAUCACAUUUAAACCAUAUUUGAAGCAAGAAGGGAGGAAAACAAAAUGUCAGCUACUUGAUUGUUUCUCAUUUCUAUUAAUGUUGUCAAAAUGUUGAACUAUAUCUAUAUAUAAAUGUAUUUGGCAUGUCCUGAUCUGCUUUUUACUUUUGACACGAAUAUUUCGAACCUAAUAUAUUGUUGUCUUUUAAAUGUAGGUUAUGAACAUUCAUUAAACUACUGGGUAUGUAGACAACACACUAGCACAAAGAUUGCUCCAGUUCAUUGGUAAGCAUAAG